AGUAGUGAUGAAGGAGGCCGGGGAGGGCAUGGCUAAGCAGAUGACAUUUGAGCUGUGACCUGAGAGAGAAGUAGCAGCAAGCUAUGCGAGGAACAUUCAUGGCCAAGAAACAGCGAGUGCAAAGGCCACAAUGUGUGUUUGAGGAACAAAACGCAGGCCGGUGUGUCUGGAGUGUAUUGGGCAAGGGAGCAGAAGGUAUGAGGAGAGAAGGGAGAAGGACACAGACCAUGAAGGGUAUAGACGCUGACAAUGGAAAUCUACUGGAAGGUGAGAAUUUUGCUAAGGCUCAAAGAGGAAGAAAAUAGGUACCGCUAUAUCCUAUGUCCGGCAGAAGGAGCCAGCCACAGAUCGAUGGAGAAAUAACACUUCAAGAACUGAUUCUUCUGUGCCCAACCCCAUCCACUGCCCCUACCCCAGUCAUUGAGAGCAGAUGUUCCUGCCUGUUUUAUUCAUUGCUUCCCCUGCUCCAAGGACAGAGCCUGGCAUGUGGCACCAGAGACAACCAAUAAAUAGUUAUUGAAUUCAAAAAAAGAUGGAAAGAAUGAACAUGGGCUUUACUACUAGAGACAGGUUCAAAAUGAACCUACACCACUUGCUGGUUGUGACCUGGGCAAGUCAUUAUUUUUAUAUUGUUAAUAGCUUUUUAUUUUUCUGAUCAU